rnacentral:rRNA from 1 species
AUUGAACGCUGGCGGCAGGCCUAACACAUGCAAGUCGAACGAGUGGCGGACGGGUGAGUAAUAUCUCGGAAAGUGCCCGAUGGCGGGGGAUAACUACUCGAAACGGUAGCUAAUACCGCAUACUAUCAGAUGUGCCCAGAUGGGAUUAGCUUGUUGGGGGGGUAACGGCUCACCAAGGCCACGAUCCCUAGCUGGUCUGAGAGGAGGACCAGCCACACUGGAACGGAGACACGGCCCAGACGCCUACGGGGGGUAGCAGUGGGGAAUUUUGGACAAUGGGCGAAACCCUGAUGCAGCCAUGCCGCGUGUAUGAAGAAGGCCUUCGGGUUGUAAAGUACUUUCGGCGGGGAGGCGGUACCUGCAGAAUAAGCACCGGCUAACUCCGUGCCAGCAGCCGCGGUAAUUC